GAUCAUGGCUCAGGAUGAACGCUGGCGGCGUGCUUAACACAUGCAAGUCGAACGGGAAACCUUUUAUUGAAGCUUCGGCAGAUUUAGCUGGUUUCUAGUGGCGGACGGGUGAGUAACGCGUGGGUAACCUGCCUUGUACAGGGGGAUAACAGUCAGAAAUGACUGCUAAUACCGCAUAAGCGCACAGGACCGCAUGGUCCGGUGCGAAAAACUCCGGUGGUAUAAGAUGGACCCGCGUUGGAUUGGCUUUG
rnacentral:rRNA from 1 species